rnacentral:rRNA from 1 species
UGGGGAAUCUUGCACAAUGGAGGAAACUCUGAUGCAGCGACGCCGCGUGAGCGAAGAAGCCUUUCGGGGUGUAAAGCUCUUACGCCAGGGACGAUAAUGACGGUACCUGGAGAAGCAGCUGCGGCUAACUACGUGCCAGCAGCCGCGGUAAUACGUAGGCAGCAAGCGUUGUUCGGAAUUACUGGGCGUAAAGGGUGCGUAGGCGGCGCUCUAAGUUUGGUGUGAAAUCUCCCGGCUUAACUGGGAGGGUGCACUGAAAACUGGGGCGCUCGAGUAUGGGAGAGGAAAGCGGAAUUCCUGUUGUAGCGGUGAAAUGCGUAGAGAUCAGGAGGAACACCUGCGGUGCAGACGGCUUUCUGGACCAUCACUGACGCUGAGGCACGAAAGCGUGGGUAGCAAACA